CCUACGGGCGGCAGCAGUGAGGAAUAUUGGUCAAUGGGCGUAAGUCUGAACCAGCCAAGUCGCGUGAGGGAUGAAGGCUCUAUGGAUUGUAAACCUCUUUUAUAAGGGGAUAAAGGGCGGGACGUGUCCCGUUUUGUAUGUACCUUAUGAAUAAGGAUCGGCUAACUCCGUGCCAGCAGCCGCGGUAAUACGGAGGAUUCGAGCGUUAUCCGGAUUUAUUGGGUUUAAAGGGUGCGUAGGCGGCCGUUUAAGUUAGCGGUGAAAGCCUGUGGCUCAACCACGGAAUUGCCGUUGAAACUGGGCGGCUAGAGAAUGUUUGCGGUAGGCGGAAUGCGUGGUGUAGCGGUGAAAUGCUUAGAGAUCACACAGAACACCGAUUGCGAAGGCAGCCUGCCAAGCCAUGACUGACGCUGAUGCACGAAAGCGUGGGGAUCAAACAGGAUUAGAUACCCUUGUAGUC
rnacentral:rRNA from 1 species